rnacentral:rRNA from 1 species
CCUACGGGUGGCAGCAGUGAGGAAUAUUGGUCAAUGGGCGUAAGCCUGAACCAGCCAAGUCGCGUGAGGGAUUAAGGUUCUAUGGAUCGUAAACCUCUUUUAUAAGGGAAUAAAGUGCGGGACGUGUCCCGCUUUGUAUGUACCUUAUUAAUAAUGAUCGGCUAACUCCGUGCCAGCAGCCGCGGUAAUACGGAGGAUCCGAGCGUUCUCCGGAUUCAUUGGGUUUAAAGGGUGCGUAGGCGGCCUUUUAAGUCAGCGGUGAAAGUCUGUGGCUCAACCAUAGGAUGGCCGUUGAAACUGGGAGGCGUGAGUAUGUGUGAGGCAGGCGGAAUGCGUGGGGUAGCGGUGAAAUGCUUAGAUAUCACGCAGAACCCUCAUGGCGAAGGCAGGCUGCCAGGCCAUGACUGACGCUGAUGCACGAAAGCGUGGGGAUCAAACAGGAUUAGAUACCCCAGUAGUC